rnacentral:rRNA from 1 species
UGGGGAAUAUUGCACAAUGGGCGCAAGCCUGAUGCAGCCAUGCCGCGUGUGUGAAGAAGGCCUUCGGGUUGUAAAGCACUUUCAGCGGGGAGGAAGGCGUUAAGGUUAAUAACCUUGGCGAUUGACGUUACCCGCAGAAGAAGCACCGGCUAACUCCGUGCCAGCAGCCGCGGUAAUACGGAGGGUGCAAGCGUUAAUCGGAAUUACUGGGCGUAAAGCGCACGCAGGCGGUUUGUUAAGUCAGAUGUGAAAUCCCCGGGCUCAACCUGGGAACUGCAUCUGAUACUGGCAAGCUUGAGUCUCGUAGAGGGGGGUAGAAUUCCAGGUGUAGCGGUGAAGUGCGUAGAGAUCUGGAGGAAUACCGGUGGCGAAGGCGGCCCCCUGGACGAAGACUGACGCUCAGGUGCGAAAGCGUGGGGAGCAAACAGG